UUCUGGAAGCCCUUGGGCCUAGAGCUGGGGGUCUUGCUGACGGAUCAGCUUCGAGGCAUCAACAAGACAGAGUCAGGGACAACCUCAGGCUCUGGCAGGGCCUCCAGGUCGGUGGGGGCCAUUCAGACGAAGAGGAUGCUGGGGAGAGGCCGUGGGUGGGUGGAGGUGAGGAGGCCAGAGCUCUGUCCUGCCCCAGUAGAGUCCGAGGCGCACAUUAGACACCCAGGCGGUGACGUGGCAUGUAGCUGUCCCUCCCAGUCUGCCCACCAGGGUCGGAGGAAUAAACCUGGGGAUUAUUAGUCCACACAAGAUAUUUAACACCCAGGAGGGUGUCACAUAGACCUCUGGGCAUUCUGCCAGUUGUUACCGUCUUCCCGUCCUGCCUCCUGUCAGGCACAGCUGAUCAACUUUAUGGUAUUCAAUCCUGGAAACAAUUCUGGGUUGUAAUUAUUGUUCCCAUUUUUCAGCAGGGGAAACAGAGGCUCAGAGAGGUUGAGUGUCUUUCUCGAGGCCACACAGGACUUGAUCCAAGCCUUUAUGAUCGCCUAGCCCUCUUUCCCUGGGUGGCCCUAGGACUGAGGCAGGCUGACCAGUUAGCUUGGCGGGACCUGGAGGACCUGGGACACCAGGCUGAAAUCCAGACAGAGGCAAUAAAGCCAAGGGCCCAGCCGGGUGGAGAGCCACACAACCAGACCCCCUUGGCUGUGCUUCCCUGGAGGCCCGGUCCUCCUGCCUUCUCAGCCCUCCCACGUCCUGCAUCUCCAGGGUCUCCCAGACGGAGCCCAGGCCCGUGGACAGCCCUGGGCCACGACCCGAGGAACUGCUUCUCCUCCAGGUGUGGACGGUAUUCGCGCAGGACCGCCCUACCUGGCGCGGAUGGCUGGGCCUCGGCCGGAUCCCUGCUGACCCGGGACGUCUCCCGCACAGACCCACGCACUGCCCCGAAGGGCGUCCCGGACGUGCGGAGCGGGGGACCGCCCGCGGAAGAAUCUCACCACAGGAGGCCACGCCCCCUCUGUCCUCCUAGGCUGAGUGCCCGGCAGUCCCACCGGCUGGAGGGACUCUGCUUGGGACCCAUCCCUGGCUCUGCCCCUCCGCCCCACGCACUCCUGUCCCUUGGUCAGCUCUCCAAUUAAGGAGCCGCACUCCAGCCUUUCUCUGGGGCCCUGCGGACACGCCGCACCUCCCAUCCCCUGGCGCCCAGCAGUGGGCUCCCCGCUCCAGGUGAGGGAGGAUCUGGGUGGAGGCUGCACAUCCUACGGUGCCCUGAGGCCUCGGCAGGGAGGCCACUAUGAAAUGAAACCAGGCCCGACUGCGGGGCACCCAGCACCACAUUACCGACAAGCAGACGCCGGUCCCUGGGGCCGCCUUUGCUCAGCCUGUCCCUCUUCCUGCACCGGACGGGCUCAUCCCAGCGCUCCGCCCAGCUCUGUGUCCUGGAACCUCCUAGCAGGGGACAGUAAUGGCCGUUACCACUCUGAACAUUUGAUGUGGCCGGCUCUGCCGUGGGUGACCGCGUGGAUCCAGGAACCGAGUCCCUGGGUUUGGGUCUGUCACUUGUGGAAGACUGGGCAAGUCCUCUCGACCAAUCUGGGCCCCAGAGACCUCAUUGACAAAGUGGGGACAAGAAAACCUCACUCAUAGAAUGGCCAGGGAGUCAAGGUUAUGGCCAGAGAGGUUGAGACUCGCUGAGGUGGGAGUGGAUCUGGGUCCAGUCCAGAUCCCUGGAGACCAGGGGACUUGUCUUACAGCCCGGCUGCGGUGACCCCGGGCCGCAGGCUGGCGGCUCAAACAGCAGCAGUUUAUUUCUCACUGUUCUGCAGGCUGCAAGUUCAAGACGAAGGUGCUGACUAAUUUGGCAGCGGGUAAGCCUCUCCUCCUGGCUUGUAGACAGCCAUGUCCUCAUUGUGUUCUCACGUGGCCAAGAGAGGGGGAGAGAGAGAGAGAGAGAGAGAGAGAGAGAAAUGAACAGUUCUGGUCUCUCUUCCUCUUCUCAUAAGAUCACUACUCAUCCAGACAUGGGGACCCAGCGUCACCCCACCUCAGCGUCAUGCCCCCCGGGUCAGGGCUACAGCGCACAAGUCUGGGGACCAGGCCUGUAGUUCACAACAGGACUGUUUCCUGGAGCUCGUGGCUCAGCGGUAGCCCUGAUCUUUCUUCCAGAUCGAGGUGGAUUUGGAGCCUGCCUGGGGCAGGGCUUUGGUCACCCUCCAGGGCCAUCAGUGAGCCCUCCUGGGGACCUGGGUGCACACCAGUGCCUGUCCCUGCGGACUUGCUCCCCUUUCUCCUCAUGGACUCGCUCUUUGCCAGCAGGACAGACCCGUUGUCAGCAUGGGCUUUGACCCCGUGGGGACAUCAGGCUGCUGGGAUCCACGUGUUUCCAAAGCGGCACCCCGAGGUCAACUCGUGCCCCUGAGAUCUGUGGGGUUAAACAGCAACCAGAUGGACAGAUUGCCUCUGCCAGAUGGGGGCUUCCCUGAGGCUGGCUGCUCCCGCCUGGGAAGUCUCUGUUCCCUCCCUUGCCUGCUCCUGGGAGAAGGCUUUCUGCUCAAGACCUGGCUGCCCUACAGAGGUCCGGGAUGAAAGGUGACAUGAAGAGAGAAGGGCUCAGCGUCACACCUACCCAGGCUAGACCAGCAGAGGAACUUCCAGUCAACUACAGAAUUGGGAAAAUAGGAAAUCAUCCUGUGAAGCAACCGUGAUUUGGCGUGGUUGGUUAUGCUGCAAAAUCUAACGAGAACAAAGGUCCUCAACAUUAGUGACCCCCGGUGCCUGAGCCACCGCUUGUGCCCUGGAGAGAGGAGAGCCUGGGCAGUUUGUGACUGCCAAGAGAAGGAUCUGGAGCCUGCAGCUCGGGGCUCUGGUCUGGUGUGACGGGGACACUGACCUGGGGUUUCUCAAUUGGAACCAGGACAGUCUCUAAAUGGAGCAAUUUCUCAGCUCUUUGCUCCCACCCAGGCCAUUGAGGCUGCUGAGGCCAGAUCCCGGAAAUCAUCAGUCACGGGGCCAAACUGCCGCAGCUGAAUGUUCUGCCAUCCUGGGUUUCUGUGAUUGAAAUUAAUUCAGUUCCUGAAAAAGACAGGGAGGGGACUGGGCAUGUUGGGCAGGGAGACAGCUGUCCACAAAGGCUCCGAGACGUGCCAGCAAGAAGCUCGUGUCAGAUACAAGUAAAUAAGUUCCAGAUUAACAAGGAUCUUAUGCCAACACGGGCUGAGAUCUCCCGGAGGACUUGUUCAGCCCAGAUAGCUCAGAGGUUCUGGUCCACACAUCUGGGUGGGGCCCAACAGCGUGCUUUUCCGACAGGUCCUUCAUGCUAUUAAUGCUGCUCUUCAAGUAGGUGCCACGCUUUGAGAACCACUGGCCUGAAAUUUAGGUUCCAAAUAAAUAGGAAGUUAUUUUUCUCAUCUUAGAGUAUGUGAUGAAGGAGGUAGUUUAGGCCUCAAAAAUGCUAUCUGGAGUCCAGAAUCAUCAUCUGUCUUCUUGGACAUUCUUAGCUUUUUGGUUUUUAUGGUGACGCUUGAGGUCUCAUGGUCACAAAAUAGCUGCUGUAGCUCCAAACCUCAAGUCUAUUCUGAGGGCGAAGGCCGUAGUUAAGAAGCCUCCUGAGGUCUAGCUUCCAAGACCCACAUAAGCUCACUUCUGCCAGAUUUCUCUUGGCAAAAGCAAGUCUCAGGCCAGUUUAGAUUUGAGGAGAUGAAAAAACAGACCCCAUCCCUGAAUGGGAGACUCAACAGUCACCCUGCAAAGGGGUGGAGAUAUUGGGAUGGGAGGAAUCGGCAGCCAUUAAAAAUCCUCCCACAGCUA